UACGUAGGGUGCGAGCGUUGUCCGGAAUUAUUGGGCGUAAAGAGCUCGUAGGCGGUUUGUCGCGUCUGCUGUGAAAACCUGGGGCUUAACUCCGGGCUUGCAGUGGGUACGGGCAGACUAGAGUGCGGUAGGGGAGAAUGGAAUUCCCGGUGUAGCGGUGAAAUGCGCAGAUAUCGGGAGGAACACCGGUGGCGAAGGCGGUUCUCUGGGCCUUACCUGACGCUGAGGAGCGAAAGCGUGGGGAGCGAACAGG
rnacentral:rRNA from 1 species